rnacentral:rRNA from 1 species
CCCUUAGAGUUUGAUCAUGGCUCAGAAUGAACGUUGUCGGCGUGGAUUAGGCAUGCAAGUCGAGCGAGAAUCUACUGAUUGAAGCUUCGGCUGAUUGAUGUAGAGGACAGCGGCAAACGGGGUAGUUAGGCGCAGGUUACGUACCCUCUGGUCGGGGAUAGCCACGGGAAACUGUGGGUAAUACCCAAUGAUCCGGUAACGGCAAAGGUGAGAUUCCGCCGGAGGAGCGGUCUGCGUGGUAUUAGCUUGUUGGUGAGGUAAUGGCUCACCAAGGCGAAGAUGCCUAGGGGGUGUGAGAGCAUGGCCCCCACCACUGGGACUGAGACACUGCCCAGACACCUACGGGUGGCUGCAGUCGAGAAUCUUUGGCAAUGCACGCAAGUGUGACCAAGCGACGCCGAGUGCUGGAUGAAGGCCUUCGGGUCGUAAACAGCUGUCAGAGGGGAUGAAAUUGUUGGGGGCUAUCCCUCUUCAUUGACAAAGCCUCAGAGGAAGCGCGGGCUAAGUUCGUGCCAGCAGCCGCGGUAAUACGAACUGCGCGAACGUUAUUCGGAAUCACUGGGCUUAAAGGGUGCGUAGGCGGCCUGUUAGGUAGGGUGUGAAAUUUGUCGGCUCAACCGGCAAACUGCAUUCUAAACUGGCAGGCUUGAGUGAGUCAGGGGUGUGCGGAACUUCCGGUGGAGCGGUGAAAUGCGUUGAUAUCGGAAGGAACGCCGGUGGCGAAAGCGGCACACUGGGGCUUUUCUGACGCUGAGGCACGAAAGCUAGGGGGAGCGAACA